CACGUAGGGUGCGAGCGUUGUCCGGAAUUAUUGGGCGUAAAGAGCUCGUAGGCGGUGUGUCGCGUCGGCCGUGAAAACCUGCAGCUUAACUGUGGGCUUGCGGUCGAUACGGGCAUCACUGGAGUUCGGCAGGGGAGACUGGCAUUCCUGGUGUAGCGGUGAAAUGCGCAGAUAUCAGGAGGAACACCGGUGGCGAAGGCGGGUCUCUGGGCCGAUACUGACGCUGAGGAGCGAAAGCGUGGGGAGCGAACAGG
rnacentral:rRNA from 1 species